rnacentral:rRNA from 1 species
CGGACCGGCGCACGGGUGAGUAACGCGUAUGCAACCUACUAUCAGAGGGAAUAACCCGGACGAAAGUCGGACUAAUACCGCAUAAAACAGGGGUUCCACAUGGAAAUAUUUGUUAAAGAAUUAUCGCUGAUAGAUGGGCAUGCGUUCCAUUAGAUAGUUGGUGAGGUAACGGCUCACCAAGUCCACGAUGGAUAGGGGUUCUGAGAGGAAGGUCCCCCACACUGGUACUGAGACACGGACCAGACUCCUACGGGAGGCAGCAG